GUUCAGCGAAAAGAAAGAGGAAGAAACAAAGGAUACGGGGGUAAAGUGAAAAGACCGAACCACUACCUAUUGAAUAGAUAAAGGCGUGGUAAGGGCGAGGAAUAGACUUUGAGGUGUCUGACUGUUGAAGAAUAG